rnacentral:rRNA from 1 species
CACCGCGGUUAUACGAGAGGCCCAAGUUGACAAACAACGGCGUAAAGCGUGGUUAAAGAACAAUCAAACACUAAAGCCGAACACCUUCAAGGCAGUUAUACGCAUCCGAAGGUUAGAAGCCCAACUACGAAAGUGGCUUUAAUUCCCCUUGAACCCACGAGAGCUACGGCA